GGUGAUUCUCAGGUGACACACCCCAGAAUCGGGCUCCCUCCUCUCUGGUUCCGGGUGCAUCACCCGAGAACCGCA
rfam:Myotis brandtii contig295761, whole genome shotgun sequence.